rnacentral:rRNA from 1 species
UACGUAGGGGGCUAGCGUUGUCCGGAAUCAUUGGGCGUAAAGAGCGCGUAGGCGGCCAGAUAAGUCCGGUGUGAAAGUCAAAGGCUCAACCUUUGAAUGCCGCUGGAAACUGUCUGGCUAGAGUCCGGAAGGGGCGAGUGGAAUUCCUGGUGUAGCGGUGAAAUGCGCAGAUAUCAGGAGGAACACCAAUGGCGAAGGCAGCUCGCUGGGACGUGACUGACGCUGAGACGCGAAAGCGUGGGGAGCAAACAGG